ACAAUCCGACCGGCUCCAACCAACACUUAACUCUACUGGAGACGGAGUUGUUACAUGUACAGGCUAGAUGGAGGUAAGUUGACGUUAUGUCACUCAUUUCAAUUGAAAUGCUUUUAAAUGUUGUACGGCAUGAUUUAAUGAUUAUUUAUAUUGACUGUUGGCAAGGUCACAGAGUCUAUCGCUGUCUCCUUUAUUAGAAUGACAUUUAUAACAUUUAGCUAACCGUUAGCUGUCUUGGCAUGAAGCUGGACUGGCAGUGCAUUUGUGCACUCAGACAUGACGAGCUAGGCUAAGGUUAGCUAUUUAUGUUUAACACAUUGUACAUGAUAUCCAGCAAAAAUAUUUUUCUGCGACUGUGGUAAUUGAAGUUUAUGGUCACACAGCAUAAACUACACUUUAGACCGCUGAUAUUACACUGAAAAUAUAGACUGCUUUCUAGACAUUUUGAGGCUUUGCUGCCUUGUUCCAUUUUUUUCCUUUAGAUGUGACAUAGAAGCAUUUAUUACACUAAUUAAUUUUCCUCUCAUAGUUGCAGUGUGGAUUAUUGGUGACAGCUAUGUCCAGCAUAGUGGCCAGAGAGCUGCAGAGAGCUUAGGAAGCAUCUUCACCCUGCUGGACGUCUCUUGGUCUGGCUGGCUUCUCCCCUUCUUUUCCCCUCUCUGCAAAGAAAGGACACGGUGCUGGAUGUCCUCGUCGUCCACUGUGGCGGCAAACUUUAAAACAAAUAUUUUGACAAUGAUUCUGUCCAUGACUUUAAUUCACGGUCAAUAAAAGCCAGAAGCUCUGAUUUCCGGUUUAGUGACAAAAAAUUCUCCUGGCCUGUUUGAUUGUGGGGAAUGACAGCUUGUCCUCUGCCAUGGCCCUCCCUGGUUCUCUGAGCGGCGGGACGGCACCAUCUCAUCUCUCCCACUGUGAUUUGUGCGUCCGAUCACAGAGGCAACCACUUUUACAGCUGCUAUAUUGUCAGGGCUAAGCGGGAUGUGGCGUGUGGAGCCACUGCUGUGUGUAUUUCUUUGUGUGUGUGUGUUGGGGGGUUGUGUAGCUAUCUAUGAAAGGAAGACAUUAAUUUGCUGUAUCAUUUCAUGCUGAGACAGUCACCGCCCCUCCACACACAAACUUUUUUUUCUGCUCUGAAGCUAUAGCUCUAUAGCUGGCCUGUCUGCCAUAAUGAACAGCUCGUGUUGGAGAACUGAAUCUAAACCAGGGCCAUAUUGCAUAUUUCUGUACAUGAGAGGAGGGGGGCUGAGAGAGAAACACAUCAAUAAAGAUGACACCGUUUAAGAGGCAGACAACCUUUACAAAAGAGCGUCGGGUUUAAUGGGCUGGCCGCGUGGCUCAUAAACCACAACCGCAUAUGACUGCAACAGAGACCGAGAACCAGCUUUACUCAAGGCUGCUGAAGAGAAAUGUAACCACUCUGGAUGCAAAGACCGGUCUUCUUGCAUGAGUCAGCCAGUUAGUCACAACUGCAAGAAAUCACACAAUCUAGACCCAAGGAAUGUAGACCGAUCAACCAGAUUGAGGUAGCGAUGUAUCAGGUGUAUACUGUGCUGUGGAGCGAACACCAACAGCUAAUAACCACAAUACCACAGUACUAAAGUUGCACACAUUUCCCAGGGCCAAAGUGUUAGCAUCAUGACAGCAAUUUUUAGUGUUUCAUUACUUGUUUUCUGCUUUUGUGGCUACAAGCAUGUCCCGUAAUGAUGAUCAAUCAAGGAAACUGAUAAUAAAGUCAAGCACUGCACUGUA